GGGCUGAAUCUCCGCAUUUGAGAAACAUUCCUCUAAAAUCGGUUUUCACACUAAACAGAUCCAGAAGUCAUUCCAAGGGAAUCAAUUUUAAUUCGUUGAAAAUAAUCGUUUAUUUACUUGAAACAGCAUAAUGGUCUACCAAAAAGUUCAAAACGUAUUUGUUUAAAGUGUUUAGUGUGAACCCGUGUUCUUUCUAUGAAAACAUCCCCAUUGUACCUAUGCAUUUAACAUAGAACGUACGAACAAAAUUGCAUUUGUUUUUGUUUCCUUUUUUUUAACGUUGGAGAUGGAAUACAUGUACAUGUUGCGAAUCACUAUUUUGUUUGUUUUCAUAUCUUGUUAAAGGUUGUGCAAGAGCGAAUGAUAGACAUCAUCGAUUUGUAUAUAAACUGAAUGUAGAUAGAACAAGUUUUUGUGACGAGCAGUUGUUAUGUGCUUUUGAUAAAUAAUCAGGGAAUUCUAAGAAUUUAAAUACAUUGUUUUUUUAGCAACUGAUUAGCAUAAAGCUUUUUUGCAUUAUACCGAACCAUGUUGUUACAUCAUGCAUAUAUUAUCUCAGUUUUAAUAUCGUCAACAGUCAACGAAUCUCUUUGUUCUAGUCCAAUGAUGACUAUAAGUAUUUUCAUGUCCAAUUUUGUAAUUUGUGCAAUCUAUUAUGCAAUAAACAAGAUUUUUUAUCAUCC
rnacentral:misc_RNA from 1 species